CUUCUCGUGCCGAUUCAUCAUUCAAAUGAAGACGAAAACGAAAUAGAAAAUAGCUAUUAAUUAUGCAUCGUUUUAUACACGCCUACCUUUUUGUUCAGAAAUUCGAUAAGAAUCACGCGAUCACACUCUUUCAACAUUCAGGUACAGGAUCACAUUCUUUCAACCCAGUUUACACGCUUUCCCCCGUGAUUUGCAGGGCUUUGUGUGGUCCAUUCUCAGGCACGCGAAGGCAAAAAGGUACCAAUUAGUCAUUCGUUAUCUUUGGUCCAUAGCCAUUCGUUAUCUUUGUGUGGGGCCGGCCUUCUUUGGUCCAUAGCCAUUCGUUAUCUUUCUGUGAAGCUUUGAUGGGACUAAAGAUAUUGUCUCUGGUUCUGGAAUGAUGUUCGAAGCUUUGAACAACUGAUACGGUAUUUUUUUUUUUUGUUGGAAUUAGUAUGAUUGUUGGUAUAUCUGUUUGUACUAGGAAGUCUUACUGGUAUGUUUGUUCGAAGUCCCUUACAUGAUUGUAAUCGAGUUGGAGCAAGAAGUGAUCUCAAGUUUUAUUUGUUUGAUUUUUACUUGACGCUGUCCUGUCUUAGCGCAGCAAGGAAAUCACUAAGCGGUCCAGUAACUUGGUGACUUCCUUUUGAGUGAGGCUUAGAAGCUGUGUCCAACCUUGCAGUCGGUGGUUUGGGUGUUGGGUGUUGUUCUUUUACCUCUUCUUGCCAAGCAUGGAGUCAUGUGUGCCCAAAUGGUGAUCUUUUUUUUUUCCUAUCCCUUGGUGGAGCUUGGGACUAUGGUCUGCAAUUUUACACAAAAAUAGCUUGCAGUCACCAAGCGGUCUAGUAACUUGGUGACAAUAUUGGCCGACACAUGGUUUCCCCAUUUAUAUAUAAAAAAUGUUAUCACAAAUGGAGUGCCUAAUACGGGGAUUGCGGCCACAUGCCAUGCCAUCCUAGAAAGAAAAUCACCAAAAUAAUUAAAAGAAAUUAUAGUUGUUUGAAAUGUCCCCAUUUUGAUUUGUUUGAAAUUAUAGUUGCACAUUAUAACU